ACGUAGGUGGCAAGCGUUGUCCGGAAUUAUUGGGCGUAAAGCGCGCGCAGGUGGUUAUAUAAGUCUGAUUUUAAAGUUCGGGGCUCAACCCCGUGAUGGAUUGGAAACUGUAUGACUUGAGUACAGUAGAGGUAAUCUGAAUUCCCAGUGGAGCGGUGAAAUGCGUAGAUGAUGGGAGGAACACCGAGGGCGAAGGGAGCUUACUGGGCUGUGAGGGAAACUGAGGCGCGAAAGCUAGGGGAGCAAAAGG
rnacentral:rRNA from 1 species